rnacentral:rRNA from 1 species
UGGGGAAUAUUGGACAAUGGGCGCAAGCCUGAUCCAGCCAUGCCGCGUGAGUGAUGAAGGCCCUAGGGUUGUAAAGCUCUUUCACCGGUGAAGAUAAUGACGGUAACCGGAGAAGAAGCCCCGGCUAACAUCGUGCCAGCAGCCGCGGUAAUACGAAGGGGGCUAGCGUUGUUCGGAUUUACUGGGCGUAAAGCGCACGUAGGCGGACUAUUAAGUCAGGGGUGAAAUCCCGGGGCUCAACCCCGGAACUGCCUUUGAUACUGGUAGUCUAGAGUUCGAGAGAGGUGAGUGGAAUUCCGAGUGUAGAGGUGAAAUUCGUAGAUAUUCGGAGGAACACCAGUGGCGAAGGCGGCUCACUGGCUCGAUACUGACGCUGAGGUGCGAAAGCGUGGGGAGCAAACAGG